UCCCUAGUGGUCCAGUGGUUAAAGACUCUGUGCUCCUAAUGCAGGGGGCCCGGGUUCGAUCCCUGGUCAGGGAA